rnacentral:lncRNA from 10 species
AAAACUUUUAAUAAUCUCAUUUGUGCGUGGAAAAAUGAACCACCCUCCCCCUAGAGUACUGGAGGAUUAGAGUGGGCGUGCUUUUGGAUAUUUUCUUAAGAAUGGCUAGGUAAGCAUUGCUGGGGGCUGAAUCUGACACAAAUGGCAAUGUUCAAGGUGAUGACAACAGAAGGAAGGCUUAUCUUUUUCAAAAUUGGAUCAGCUCAGACUCAACUAUAAUACAAACAUAUGAAGCCCUGAGUAUAGGGAUAGAACUACAACUCUAACUGGCUUUAGCAAUGAAGAAAAUUUCUGGUUUCACAUCUUUCAAGGGUCCAGAGGUGGCUACAGAUUCAGGAGACUUGCACCAGGAGGAACUGGCAAAUUUCCUUGGCAAGAACAGAUGAAUAAAUAAGAAGCAUGAGCUUGCGACUUUUAGCUGGGGUGAUUCGUCAAAAACCACAGCACUGUGGCUGUUUUCAGAUUUUAAGGGUUAUGUUCAACCUCAAUCAAGGGGAGUUUUGAAAGCUGUUAUAAAUCAUCAAAUAAAUUGAGGAA